rnacentral:rRNA from 1 species
CAUCCUGGGGCUGAAGCCGGUCCCAAGGGUAUGGCUGUUCGCCAUUUAAAGUGGUACGCGAGCUGGGUUUAGAACGUCGUGAGACAGUUCGGUCCCUAUCUGCCGUGGACGUUUGAGAUUUGAGAGGGGCUGCUCCUAGUACGAGAGGACCGGAGUGGACGAACCUCUGGUGUUCCGGUUGUCACGCCAGUGGCAUUGCCGGGUAGCUAUGUUCGGAAAAGAUAACCGCUGAAAGCAUCUAAGCGGGAAACUUGCCUCAAGAUGAGAUCUCACUGGGAACUUGAUUCCCCUGAAGGGCCGUCGAAGACUACGACGUUGAUAGGCUGGGUGUGUAAGCGUUGUGAGGCGUUGAGCUAACCAGUACUAAUUGCCCGUGAGGCUUGACCAUAUAACACCCAAACA